UAAGGAAUAUUGGUCAAUGGUCGCAAGUCUAAACCAGACAUGCCGCGUGAAGGAUGAAGGUCCUCUGGAUUGUAAACUUCUUUUAUCUGGGACGAAAACGGGAUUUUUAUCUCAAUUGACGGUACCAGAGGAAUAAGCACCGGCUAACUCCGUGCCAGCAGCCGCGGUAAUACGGAGGGUGCGAGCGUUAUCCGGAUUUACUGGGUUUAAAGGGUGCGUAGGUGGGCUUAUAAGUCAGUGGUGAAAUCUCCGAGCUUAACUUGGAAACUGCCGUUGAUACUAUAGGUCUUGAAUUAUCUGGAGGUAAGCGGAAUAUGUCAUGUAGCGGUGAAAUGCUUAGAUAUGACAUAGAACACCAAUUGCGAAGGCAGCUUACUACAUAUAAAUUGACGCUGAGGCACGAAAGCGUGGGGAUCAAACA
rnacentral:rRNA from 1 species